GCCGCUUGAGUCUGGAAUCGGCAGGAAAGACAAGCAAUCGUCGACCGCCAAAAUUCCUCAGUCUGGAAACAACCGCGCAGUAGAGCGGACGGAUGAGAAUCGCGCUCCGCAGAUUUCGAGUACCGGGUUCUUUACCUCCUGGAUUCUGCGGUCCGGGUCCGCUUCUUGGUGCAACUCGACUUCCAGGACAAGGGCUCCGUAGUUCUGGCUAUCCAGGUCCUUGAUCCGGUGACUUUUGACCUUUAGGACUAAUUUUCCGUAGUUCGGGCUGUUCAGGUCGUCCACCUGAUGGAUCUUGACGUCCAGAAAAAGCGCUCCGUAGUUCUGGCUGUCCAAGUUCUUAAUGUGGUGACCGUCGACCUAGCGCUCCGUGGUUCCUGUUUCAUGUUUACGAUGAAUUAUUUCAAUUCAUUUUUUUGCGUAAGCUCAAAUUCAGUAGCUCUCAUUGCGCUAAUAAAAUUUCUACAAUUUUUUAUAAUUUUCUCAUAAUCCCCUUGUUAAAAUGUGUCAAUACAGAAAUUAUAAUAAUCCUUACACAAUGCUUUUGAUGUGUUUUGAUACUGGAAAUAUUUCUUAGUAUUCGAGGUAUACCCCGAAGUGGUUGUUUUUGGUUGUUGGAGGUGGUUGGAGGUGGACGAGGAGGAGGACGAGAAAGAGGAGGAGAACAAGGUGGACGAGGAGGACGAGGAUUUGUGCUCGGUAUAACCUGAGGUGGUUAUUGGUGGUUAUUGGUGGUUGUUGGGGGCGGUUGGCGGUGGUCGGAGGUGGACGAGGAGGAGGACGAGAAAGAUGAGGAAAACAAGGUGGACGAGGAGGACGAGGAUUUGUGCUCGGU